UUGCUUCUUUGCUGGCGACCGGCGCACGGGUGAGUAACACGUAUCCAACCUGCCCUUUACUCGGGGAUAGCCUUUCGAAAGAAAGAUUAAUACCCGAUAGUAUAAUGAUUCCGCAUGGUUUCAUUAUUAAAGGAUUCCGGUAAAGGAUGGGGAUGCGUUCCAUUAGGUUGUUGGUGAGGUAACGGCUCACCAAGCCUUCGAUGGAUAGGGGUUCUGAGAGGAAGGUCCCCCACAUUGGAACUGAGACACGGUCCAAACUCCUACGGGAGGCAGCAUG
rnacentral:rRNA from 1 species